ACACCCGUCGACCAAUCACAAAACACGUUCAGAUUCUUGUCCAAUCACGCUUCAGCUUGAGCGGUACUGCUUCCUGGUUGAGUUCCCAUGCUUGUGUGCUUUCCAGGCUCCUGCACGUUUCGCUGUUACUUCAAGACUAAUUAGUAUCAUGGCCAAGAGCAAGUCUGUAAAAUCAGAAUCAAAUACUCCAAAAAGGAAGAAGUUUGCUUCAAAUGAAAGUGAUGUUCCCCCCGAAGAAGUAAAAAGGAAGAGGAAAAAGCUGGAAGUAGAGGAGGCUCCGGUACAGAUUCCUCUUGAAACAAUCACAGCAGAUGAUAAAAAACAAAAAAAGGACAAGAAACAGAAAAAGAAACAGAUGACUGAGCAACCACAGACACAGCAAACCAAGAUUUCAGAUCCUCCUGGUCAACCUAAGGAGAGGGAGGAGGGAGAGGAGGACUUGAGUCCGGAAGAGAAGCGGGUCUUGGAGAGGAAGAUGAAGAAGAUUCUGAAAAAGGAAGAGAAGAAGAGGCUUAAAGAAGAGGGAAAAACAUCACAGAACACUGAAACAUCAGGACCAAGUGCAUCUCAGCAGGCCUUGGAUUACCUCACGUGCUGGGCUGAAAACCGUUCAGCGUGGAAGUUCCAGAAGACCAGGCAGACAUGGUUACUGCAGCACAUGUUCGACUCUGAAAAGAUUCCAGAUGAGAAGUUCUCUGUGCUACUUCAGUACCUGGAGGGGCUUCGUGGAGGUGCGAAGGACACAACAGUGCAGAAGGCCUUAUCCCUGGUGGAGGAAUCGGGACAAGCACCAGAUGAUGUAGCUGUCCAGCAGAGGGCGCACAGAGCCAAAGAAGUUAUCCAGCUGUUUUCCUGACCUCCAGCUACAACAGGAGAACACGAAAUCAGCCGCAAAAAGACAGUUUGUGGAUCAAAGGACUGAAUUACAGCCCUGAUCACAGGUCUACUUUGUAAGAAUUCAGAAGUUUCCCAGAGACUAUGGGUUGAGGAGGAAUUGGAAGUUUGUCGGCUUAGACCUGGUGUCAUUCCAUCAGUGUUAAACUUCCCGGCUCAUCUUGGAAGAGUACGUGCCAGAAAGACCACGACCAAGCAGCCUUGAGAUCUUAGGCAGCGUCUCCCUGAGGUCCCUCUCUAUCUCCCCACACAUCCACCAACCACUGGAACACAUCUCCAAAGUUCUGCCGGGCCAGCUCAGCUUCCCCUCAGAAGAAGUGCCGCCACCUGCCAGAUGAAGGAGCCUUUUCAGAGGCAGCUGGCAUCGUGAUUGGACUGUACUUUGGUCUGUUCCAAUCCAGCUUCAGCUCCAGAGACGGCAGGCGGGACGAGUCAACGGAGGCCGGGUGGACGAAGGCAUGCAGCUGAGUACAAUCCAGAAAACAACAGAGGAGGAGUGCAGCAGCCCAGAGCCAGAACAAACAGAGUAGCAUCGUAUGUCUCUGAGAAAACAUCAUAGUAUAGCCUUUGGGAUGAAAAAACGCCAUCAUAUACAUCGUAUAUUGUACAAAUAACAAGUCAAAGGAAAGAGACAUACAUUGUAGAAUUGUAGUAAUUGUGGGCUGACUGAUUUACUGAUUAUCAGUAUUUUAUUUUUUUACUGAUUUACGGUAAUAAAUUAAUUUAAAAAUGGCGCUA